rnacentral:rRNA from 1 species
GACGAACGCUGGCGGCGUGCCUAAUACAUGCAAGUAGGACGCAGUUGCGAACGGGUGAGUAACGCGUAGGUAACUACCUAUUAGAGGGGGAUAACUAUUGGAAAUGAUAGCUAAUACCGUAUCCUAGUAGCUGGACCUGUUUUGUAUUAGCUAGUAGGUAGGGUAAUGGCCUACCUAGGCAACGAUACGUAGCCGACCUGAGAGGGUGAUCGGCCACACUUGGACUAAGAAACGGGCCAGACUCCUGCGGUAGGCAGCAGUAGGGAAUCUUCGGCAAUGGGGGGAACCCUGACCGAGCAACGCCGCGGGAAUGAAGAAGGUUUUCGGAUCGUAAAGCUCUGUUGUUAAGGAAGCGGUACUUAACCAGGAAGGGACGGCUAACUACGUGCCAGCAGCCGCGGUAAUAC